rnacentral:tRNA from 1 species
GUGGUCUAGUGGUUAGGAUUCAGCGCUCCCACCGCCGCAGCCCGGGUUCGAUUCCCGGUCA